AAUCCGUCGAUUUUAUAAAUCGUGAGGGUUCAAGUCCCUCUAUCCCCA
rnacentral:tRNA from 1 species